UUUCUUCAAGCUUUUUAUAAUUUUGUAUUUUAAAAUAAUUUAAAUAUGCAAUAAAUUAGUUUGAAACCAUUAAAUAAUUUAAUUCAUUCUUAAAUGCGGCGGAGCUAAUCGUUGAUUAUUCUUUUCAGGCUCAUGAAUUUUGCUUUCACUCUUGUCAAUGCUCAAUAUCGUGUUAGGUUGUUUAUUUAUGUCCCUUUCUACUAUUGGAAACGCAGAAAAGAGGGGGUAUGUUUAUGUUUACUAAGAAUCUUGAAUUCAUUUUCUCUUCUAAGCUUGAAAAAGAAUGUGCAGGUUGUGAAAACACAACACUCCUUGGCCAAAUUUAGAGUCCAAUGCACUCCCAUCGCCUCCGCAUAAUGGGGUAGAAACUAGGUACGUAGGGAUAAAUUUGGAUAUGCAACUCAAUCUGUGAAAACUGCACCUAGAUCAGUUGUUCUAUUCUAUUGCCAUGACUGACAAAAGCAUCAUUAUCAAUAUUAAAGUUAUUAACUUCAACAACUCCUUGGGACGGAGUUCGAUCUCCAUGAAUUGACAAGGGCAUGCAUCUUUAUGAGCAGAAGGGAGCAUUAACCAUGAAGACCCAAAUUGCUAACCACCAAGCACUGAAGCAAACCAAAUUGGCUAUACUUCUAUAAUAUACUGUAUAUACGAGAAAAAAGAGCAUGUGCUACUGUCUCCACCUCAUCUUUAACAUGUGUUUGAAUUGAUGACGAGUUGAAAUCACUGUAAUUUUUUGGUACUG
rnacentral:lncRNA from 1 species